rnacentral:lncRNA from 1 species
GGCCGCGUAACGCGCAUGCUCCAUGAGCGGCGCCCCCGACUCGCUGCUCGGCUCCGUUCGGGCAUUUCCGCCUCUUUGUUUUAAACUCCGGACGGGUUUUUUUCUCCUGCUCUUGGGGGGGACCCGGAGGGAGCGGCGCCCCCCCCAACUCCCGGCGCUGCCCCCGCGUGCGCCCCGCUCGCCCGCAGCCGAGACGGCAGGCUUCAACAUGUAG